GUCUACGGCCAUACCACCCUGAACGCGCCCGAUCUCGUCUGAUCUCGGAAGCUAAGCAGGGUCGGGCCUGGUUAGUACUUGGAUGGGAGAAAGUAGAUGGUUUUAAAAA
rnacentral:rRNA from 1 species